CAUAUCAACAGGUACUCACUCACUGCACCCAUUCUCCCAACUACAGCUCCUGCUACUUAGGUAGCCAUGUUUUGUGUCACAUGACCAACUUCUCCAUCAAUAGCUCAUUGGACCAAAGGUGAGCACAUGACUGAGCUCAGCCAAUCCAAACAUAGGCUGCUCAGCAACCUAUGAUGUUGCCUGUUGUGAACCUAAGCGGGGGAACUAACUGGAUUCCUUUCUGUGGGAAUUUCAGUAGAAAACAUCUCAAGAAUGAGGGAGAAAAGCAAUGAAAGCAGAAGCUGAAAGGUUGAGAUGAAAAAAGUAAAUGGAGAAAACAUGGUUGGUUCUCUUUAGCCAACAUUAUGAGGUAGCCAAACUGGUGAGAAUAUAAAGACAAACAGAUAGAAGUGGAAGUACCACAUAGCCGUUAAGCAAGAGGAAGAGAAGACUCCAUGACUCUCUAAUUUCAAUUCUUCUGUGUGACCUUCACCACAAGCUUCCUUUUGCUUGAGGGACGUUUAGUAAGACUGUUUCAUGCAGCUACAACAGCCUCAGUAGAGUCAGUGUGACUGGAGAAAGAUACCUAUGGAGAGGGAAUGUGUUUGAAGCCCUCACUCAUUGCUCCAAACCAACACUCUACCCUUUUCCACCCUGUUCUGGGUCUUGGAAGUGCCAAUUUGUGUGGACCUCAUUACUGACUCCCAUCCACUAGCUUCUGGUAGGCUUUGGCCCUUGGGAGCCAUCAGAAAGGCAAGAAAUCAGACGGCAGGAGUAGAGGGAUACUGUGAAUGCUUUCAAACAAAAUCUUCGAUGAAACCCUAUAUAUGGAACAGGCGAAUGUGGAGCUGCUGUUACUGUAUGCAACCUGAACAAUGAGAUGCAGUACCCUGGGCUUUGUUUCCUAAGGAAGCAACCUGUAACAUCCCCUAACUUGAGAAAAGCACUUCCAAGGUCUUGUGACUUGCUUUGGCCAAUAGGAUGUGGCAGAGGUGAAAAUCUUAGCCCUCAAGAUAAGUUGCAUGCUUCCAAUCUCUUUUUUUGGACUCCUGACUUUGUCAUGAGAACAAACCUUGGCUCCCUGCUGGAGAAUGAGAGACUUCAUAGAGAAGAAGCCUCAGCCAAUAGCUGGCCAACUCCCAGAAGCUGAGCUACCCAGUGGGCUGUAGCUGACCACAGUCACAUGAGGAGCCCAGCAGAGACUGGAAGAACUGCCAGCCAAGCUUAUCCCCAAAUGCCAAACUGCAGAAUUGCAAGCUAAAUAAAUAUUUAUUAUUUUAA
rnacentral:lncRNA from 1 species